rnacentral:lncRNA from 1 species
AGUUUCAGAUGGAGAUCACACUCAUCCCUAAACCAUUAGUUAUUAGUGAUUUGAUUUGUAUACUAUAUAGUCAUAAAUUCCUCUUUAAAUUCAAAUUGAAAUUUAUUUGUGUAUGUUAAAUUAUAAAUUGUUUUACCAUAUCAAUUAAGCAUUGAUUUUUUUAUUUCAUAUUCUUUAUUACAUAUUUUAUUGUUGUUGUUGUUAUUUUCUAUUUCUAAGGCUAUUAAUG